GAUGAACGCUGGCGGCGUGCUUAACACAUGCAAGUCGAACGGAGCACUUUAUUUGAUUUCCUUCGGUACUGAUUAUUUUGUGACUGAGUGGCGGACGUGUGCGUAACGCGUGGGUAACCUGCCUUGUACAGGGGGAUAACAGUUCGAAACGGCUGCUAAUACCGCAUAAGCGCCCAGCAUCGCAUGCUGCAGUGUGGAAACCUCCGGUGGUAUAGGAUGGACCCGCGUUGGAUUAGCUAGUUGGUGAGGUAACGGCCCACCAAGGCGACGAUCCAUAGCCGAACUGAGAGGGGGACCGGACACAUUGGGACUGAGACACGGCCCAAACUCCGACGGGAGGCAGCAGUGGGGAAUAUUGCACAAUGGGCGAAAGCCUGAUGCAGCGACGUCGGGGGAGAGAAGAAGUAUGUCGGUAAGUAAAGCUCUAUCAGCAGGGAAGAUAAUGACGGUACCUGACUAAGAAGCACCGGCUAAAUACGUG
rnacentral:rRNA from 1 species